rnacentral:lncRNA from 1 species
AGAAUCCAAAUUUAGGAUGUUGGAAAGGAGGAAGGUUGGGGAGUGGAGGGCAGGGUUUCUUAUAGAAUGGUGGGAGUGGUUUAUAAAUUGGAAUUGGAGGUGGAAGUGGCUUUACUAUUGGAGGAAUGUAAAUUGGUGGCUUUGGCUUGUAGAUUGGAAUUGGAGGUGGAAGUGGCUUUACUAUUGGAGGGAUGUAAAUUGGUGGCUUUGGCUUGUAGAUUGGAACUGGUGGUGGUAGUGGCUUUACUACCGGGGGUAUGUAAACCGGUGGCUUUGGCUUGUAGGUUGGAACUGGUGGUGGUAGUGGCUUUAUUAUCGGAGGUAUGUAAAUCGGUGGCUUUGGCUUUGGUUUGUAGAUAGGAACUGGUGGUGGAAGAGGCUUUACUACCGGAGGUUUGUAAACUGGUGGCUUUGGCUUUGGUUUGUAGAUUGGAACUGGUGGUGGAAGCGGCUUUACUGGAGGCUUUGGCUUGUAAAUAGGGACAGGUGGAGGAAGUGGCUUUGGUUUGUAAAUGGGGACGGGUGGAGGAAGCGGCUUUUUGUAAAUGGGAACUGGGGGAGGAA